GGAAAGCGCUGAGGAAAGCGUGGAAUGAGCUGGCCGAGUAGCAGGGACCGUCGUUUCUUCGCUGACACAGCAGCGGCGCGGUCAGUAGUCCAGGUGGAAAAACUGAGUGUGGGGUUUGUAUCAAUAUCAUGUAUGAAGAAGAAAAGAUAAAAUUUCUGCUUUGUUCCCAAGCAAUUGUGAUUUCUGUUUCCUGCCAAACAAACAAACAAAAAACCCAGUGAAAGCCAUUUAAAUUGCAGAGGUGAGCCUGGCUCAGUGUCACUGUCCAACAGGAAAGACAAAAAUCGCCAAGGCAUGCCAACUGAAGUACAUCAGGUGCCAGAGGAGUCCGACAGAGGAGACUUUUACCCCGCAGAGUUGCUGGAAUAAUGAGUAGUAAUAUCAUCACUAAAGAGGAAAUUGGAGGAAAUCUCAAGCCAGGAGCCACAGCAAUGACAGAUCAGAACUGAGUAAGAAAACAUUAUCUUGGAUUCUGAAGGAGAGUUGAAUUGGCACGGCAUGGCUUAAAUAACCAAGAGAAAUGCUGAAAAUGCAGUUUUCCUGCUCACAUGUUCAAAGUUAAGCAGAAGUAAAGCCCAUGAAUAUACUUGGCAGAGUAGCAACCCCUGGACAACUUUUCAGCUAGAUAAACUAGGUGAGUGCUGUCUGCAGGUGAAUUCAGUAUGUAUUUUACCAACAGUAAAUAACUAACAGUAAAUAACUAACAGUAAAUAAGUAAAUAACUUCAUUGAGUCCUGCCUAUUUGAUCAUAUAUCAAUUUUUUUUCACAUUAAACAUUAUCCAGGCUGGAUGGUAAUCAUAAGCUGCCACACAGUUCUGAAGAAAAUUAAGAAAAUGUAUAACCUAUGUAUAAGGCAAAUGCUUGCUUUUCAGUUACCAUGUGCAUGAGUUCUGAUUUUCUUGUUCCAAAAAAAUUUGAAGAGUCAAAUGGAAUUUCCAAGAAAAUUUCAGUAGGAAGAACUUAGUUAAUUGGAAUAUGUGGGUCUCAACAAUCAAAAUUUUCCCUUGUGUCCAUUUCUCUGAGCCCCUAUGGCUGAUCUCAGCUGCUAUCCAUGGCACCCAGCAAGAUGGAAGUCUGCAGUGGGACAGAGACAGCAAGGCAAAAGGGGCCUGAGCCUGCAUGUCCAGCCAUGCACACCAGGGAGUUACUUGCCUUCUUCAUUUACUUUAAGAAUGUGAAAUUAUUCUUAGAUUCAAGUACAUCUUGUCAAGAUUCUAGUCCUCAAACAUCUGGAAAUAAAACACAGCAAGAUUACCACAGAAGUGUGGGAGAGAUGUGCGAGCUCUUUACUUAUUCAUACUCCUUCAAACCCUUUGAUCUGUUUCAGUUCCCCUGUUUUUAUAUGUAUAUAAUGAAGUUUACAAACCAUGAAUUGUGAACAGAACUGUGCAAUUUGUGUAUCAUUGAUCUAUCACUAACACUCAGGAUAGUCCUUUUUACCACAAGUGAGAAAUAAACACUUUUCAUUACA